GGCCCUGGCAAUCACUAUUCCAGUCUCUGCUUCUAUGAGUUUGACUAUUUCAGAUUCCACAUGUAGCAAACCCAUAAUCAAUGUCUGGAUCCCUGAUGAACUGAGACUCACAUUGAUCUUUCAAUAUGUCCAAGCCUCCAACUGGAAUGAUUUGGUUAUCCUGCAGGAAAUGCUGGAGUCCUUCAUCCGAAUGGUAAAUGGCACUUGUGACAAAAAUCAAAGUAACUAAAAAAGAAUCUGGUUGAAACCUCAGUAACAGUUGGCCUGUCUACUGCCUCACACUAACAAGGGGGGAGCUAAUAAAACCGAGGUUAGAACACACAAUGUGGAAAUGAAAACCUUAUUCUUGUCAAUGGAUGGAGGGUGGGCAAGAAGACCCUCACCAGAUUCCAGCCCCUCGAUCUUUGAUUUUCCUAUUUGGCUUAUGCUUCCACAGCCUGUACAAGAAACAUGGUGCCAGCAUCUGCUUCUGGUGAGGACUGCAGGAAGCUUCCAAUCAUGGUCCAAAAAAUGCGGAGCCUGCGUGUCACGUGAUAAGAGAUGGAGCGUGAGAAAGAGGCAGGAGGAGAAAGAAGAGAAUAUUUCUGGGAAUAUUAAGAAGGGGUCACAAGGCAGACUCAGGGGUUGGGUUUUGUGUGUAACCAUGAAAACACUGGAUGCUUCAAACACUUUCUCUUUCUACAGUGACCCCCACCUUUACAAGUGUCUGUAAUUCUCACUAGCAGUAUAUUAGAGGGCAAAAGAUUUGAACAGACACAUCAGAAAAGAAGACAUACAAAUGGCCGCUAAGCACUUGAAAGGAUUCUGAACACCAUUAGUCAUCAGUGAAAUGCAAAUUAAAGCCAUAAUGAAUGGCGCUAUACAUUUUCAGAAUGGCAAGGAUUGAAGACCGAAAAAAAUCAAGCGUUGGUGGAGGAGAGUGACAAAUGGGGAGACAGCCGUGGUGCAUGAUCGCCGAAUAAAUACCAUGUGAGGAUACAGCAAGAAGGUGGCCAUCUACAAGCCAAGGAGACAGGCCUCAGAAGAAACCAACCCUUCUUACACCCUGGACUCAGACUUCUAAUCUCCAGAACUGUAAGAAAAUAAAUUUCUGUUGCUUAUGCUGCCCAGUGUUAAUGCACAAGGUCUUGUGUUGAAAAUGUAGAGCCACGAGAUAAAAGCAGCUUGGAUGGCUGACUCAUAUACAAGGACAACUGCCUGAGAGUCACCAGGGCUAUCAAGAAGUUUGCAGAAACAAGAAAUAAACUUUUACUGUUUUAAACUUUUGUGAAUUUUGGGUUUUGUUUAUCACCAAAUAAACCUAGUCUAUUCUGAUUGUUAUAAGUGGUUAAUUUGGGAAGUCAGAUAUAUUUAAAAUUGGCUUACUGCUGUAACAUAUACAGUCCAAAUUACAUAAUGGCUCAAAUGCAAUAGAAGUCUUUUUUUUUUUUGCUCACAUAUCACUUCACUGAGAUUCUGCAUUAAUUGUAAUGAUGAGGGUGAGGGUGUCUUAUAUCAUACAGUUGUUCAGCAACCCAGGAUGACCAACUUUGUAAUAUUUUUUCCCACUGGCUUCUAAAGUUCUCAUAGAUAGUAAAAUUCAUUUGGAAGAAGGAGAAACAGCAUGGAGGAUUGCAGAUGGAGAUUUUUAUGGGAAGGCUUGGAGGUUUGGAGGUUACACAUUACUACUUUUACUUGUUGGCUAGGAAACUAUCACGUGGUCACACCUAAGUGCCAGUGAGUCUGACAAUGUGGCAAUUUGGUUGCGGGCCAGGGGUAAGAGGCAAUAAAUUUUGCUCAAUAAUUAUCAGUUUUUGCCACAGAUGGAGGGACUUUUCAUUGUAUAACUAGUUGUUACUGUUUGAAUUUAAAACAGGAAAAUAUCAUUUUCAAAUAAAAACACAAAAGUGGCACAAAAAAUUCUUAUGAUUUUUUUUGCUUGAAUUUUGUGCAUUUAUUUGGCUAUUAUUAAAGUAAAUAAUUCUCUUUAUAGAAAAUGUAGAAAAUAACAAAAAAUAAAUAAGCAGAAAGUCAUCCAAUAACCCCCAUGAUCCCAGCAUAAUAAUCUUUUUUAAGGUAACUGAAAUGACCAUCCUUCUUUUACAAUUGCAAACGCUAACACCCAGGGAUUUUAAGAAAUUUGUCAACUCUAGUAAGUGGUAGAGCACAGAGAAAAGAAAAGCCAGGGAAGCUUUUACAGAGCAGGAGACAAGGAUAGAAAAGGACUUAUGAAUGGGGAAACACAAUUGACAAAUUAUUUUAAAAUAUUGCAGGUUUAAUCGCAUGGAGAGAGAGAGCAUAGAACACGAGAAAUAUACCAAAACAACAGAGGUAAUGACCUCAGCUUUAGAGAUUUCCCAUUUUAUUAUAGUUUUAUUUCCAUUUAGAUAUGUCAUUUAGAUAUUAAGGUGUCACUGUCCAAUAAGGCAGUAUGAACCUGGGUUCUGGAUGAAGACUAGUCGGGAUAUUGUGUCAAUGACAGUAAUUGAAGGCACUGGUGUUAAAGGCUGUAGAUAGAGUUGUGAUGAGUCAGAAUUUUGAGCAAUUUAAAAGUUAGAUGUUGUACAGAUUGUUGAAGGCUAGAAUUGUUUUUUGUUUUUUUGUUUGUUUGUUUGUUUCUUUUCUUAAAACCCUGGCCCAUUUCCCUGAAGAGCUCCCACUGGAAAAGUCAUAGUUGGAUAUGGUGUGAGAAGCUGGCCAGGAUUCGAAAUGGUGAAUGUGGCAACCCGUUGGCUGCCUGGUAUAAAAUACAUCCAGGUGUUCAAUUCUGAGCUCCAAGGCUAACUAUUAUUAUUAACUAUAGUGUGCAUCCAUUCCUAUAAAUAUCAGAAGACUGGGAACUCAGAUAGCUUAUUUUGCUCCUGAAUCUGUUACUGAGUAGCAAUAUGAACUAAAAAAAUUAUUUUUCCAAGCAGGGCUUAGAUUUCCUCGUAUCUAAAAUGAGAAGAAUAGAAUAAAUAAUUUAACUACCCAGCUCUGAAACCCAGACUCCAUGAUAAGAAUAAGCAUUUUCCCAAACUCCAAAACUUAGUAUUCUUUUAUAGAAAUUAUUACUUUCUUCUUCAUCCCCUGGUCUCUGCAUAAAC
rnacentral:lncRNA from 10 species